rnacentral:lncRNA from 1 species
CUUGCCGCGACUUUGCUCUCCGCAAGCUGACGCCUCCCGAGCGGGCGCCUGCUCUUACCCUCCCGAACAUCUUCCAGGACGGUCGACUUCCUGGAGCUGGGCCGUUCACAACGUGGACUGCUGUGAAUGUGCUGGGCCUCACUAAUUCGUGAAGAAUCCAAGAGAAAAAAAAAUAAAGAAAUGGAAGAAACUUUAAUGUGCUCUGGGAUCCAUCCGGCUAGACUAAACAAAUGAUCCUAGUGCAUCGGCUUUGCAGUGCUUUAAUUCAGAUGCAAAAGCUUCUCACCGGGGAAAAUGAGGACAAAAAAUGUCUCCACGAUACAGAUUCACAGGACAAUCUGGACGCAUGGACUGGAGCAAAGAUACGAAGCCUAGGGCAAAUAUUCAAAAAGAUGACCAGCAUGACCUUGGACCAAGUGUACAAUUAUCCUUUCGGCAGUGCAAGAGCCAAAAAGUGCAAAACAUAUUGCAAGACCAAAAGAGAAAGGAAAUCAGAGUGAGCGUGACUGGGUUGGCUCUCUAUGCCUGUAAAUACAGAAGAAGAAUGUUUUCAGCACUUACACACUGCUCCGUGAGCAAGAUUUCCUUGAGUUCCACCACCGAAAAUCCACACGGCCUCCUCGUCUACCUUUCUCUCCUACGUUCUCAGUAAUAAUUGUGUCAUUUAGCUUCUGCUCCCCUGAGUUUGCCGAUUGUCCAGACAACCUUUUCCGGAAGAAACAAAAAGAACUUGGAAAUAAAUAAUUUUUCAGCUGCA